rnacentral:rRNA from 1 species
CCUACGGGUGGCAGCAGUGAGGAAUAUUGGUCAAUGGACGAGAGUCUGAACCAGCCAAGUAGCGUGAAGGAUGACUGCCCUAUGGGUUGUAAACUUCUUUUAUAUGGGAAUAAAAUGUUCCACGUGUGGGAUUUUGUAUGUACCAUAUGAAUAAGGAUCGGCUAACUCCGUGCCAGCAGCCGCGGUAAUACGGAGGAUCCGAGCGUUAUCCGGAUUUAUUGGGUUUAAAGGGAGCGUAGGUGGAUUGUUAAGUCAGUUGUGAAAGUUUGCGGCUCAACCGUUAAAUUGCAGUUGACACUGGCAGUCUUGAGUACAGUAGAGGUGGGCGGAAUUCGUGGUGUAGCGGUGAAAUGCUUAGAUAUCACGAAGAACUCCGAUUGCGAAGGCAGUUCACUGGACUGCAACUGACACUGAGGCUCGAAAGUGUGGGUAUCAAACAGGAUUAGAUACCCUAGUAGUC